UACCCGUUGGUUCCCUUGAGGACUUAGUGGCGCAGUUAACGCGAUAAGUCGACCGCCUGGGGAGUACGGCCGCAAGGUUAAAACUCAAAUGAAUUGACGGGGGCCCGCACAAGCGGUGGAGCAUGUGGUUUAAUUCGAUGCAACGCGAAGAACCUUACCUACCCUUGACAUCCUGCGAACCCGGAAGAGAUUCCGGGGUGCCUUCGGGAGCGCAGAGACAGGUGCUGCAUGGCUGUCGUCAGCUCGUGUUGUGAAAUGUUGGGUUAAGUCCCGUAACGAGCGCAACCCUUGUCCCUAUUUGCCAGCGAUUCGGUCGGGAACUCUAGGGAGACUGCCGGUGACAAACCGGAGGAAGGUGGGGACGACGUCAAGUCAUCAUGGCCCUUACGGGUAGGGCUACACACGUGCUACAAUGGCCGGUACAAAGGGUUGCGAAGCCGCGAGGUGAAGCCAAUCCCAGAAAGCCGGCCUCAGUCCGGAUUGGAGUCUGCAACUCGACUCCAUGAAGUCGGAAUCGCUAGUAAUCGUGCAUCAGAAUGGCACGGUGAAUACGUUCCCGGGCCUUGUACACACCGCCCGUCACACCAUGGGAGUGGACUGCACCAGAAGUGUGUUAGCCUAACUUCGGAGGGCGAUCAC
rnacentral:rRNA from 1 species